rnacentral:lncRNA from 1 species
GGAAUAGUUUACAUACGUCUAUUUCAGUUGCCAAGGAGUUUUCAGAUAGGGUAGAAGAGGGAGAGAUCGAGUGCAGAGGGUUUUGAAAAUGGCCGAUCGAGCUGGACGGAGGAUAUGAUGAUGAGGCAAUUGAAGCAGAACCUGAUGACGGUGCAGAUCGAGGAGGAACUGGAGAGGAUAAACAAGACAUCAAAUUAUAUGACAAAAUACGAAGGUG